GAAGGCGGGGAUGACGUCAAGUCAGCAUGCCCCUUACACCCUGGGCUACACACGUGCUACAAUGGGCGAGACAAUGAGAUGCGACUCUGCGAAGAUUAGCUAAUCUAGAAACUCGUUCUAAGUUCGGAUUGCAGGCUGCAACUCGCCUGCAUGAAGUUGGAAUCGCUAGUAAUCGCUGGUCAGCUAUACAGCGGUGAAUUCGUUCCCGGGCCUUGUACACACCG
rnacentral:rRNA from 1 species